rfam:Oryza rufipogon genomic scaffold, chr02
UAUAAGUGUAGUUAUGGGUUUCCGUAUCCAAUGUUUAAUCGUCUGUCUUACUUACAAAAUAUAUAUAAUUAGUAUUUUUAUUGUUAUUAGAUGAUAAAAUAUAAAUAGUAAUUAAUAUGUGACUAUUUUUUUAGUAUUUUCAUAAAUUUUUCAAAUAAGACAAACGGUCAAAUAUUGGAUACUGAAACCUACAACUGCACUUAUA